rnacentral:rRNA from 1 species
AUUGAACGCUGGCGGCAGGCCUAACACAUGCAAGUCGAACGAGUGGCGGACGGGCGAGUAAUGUCUGGGAAACUGCCUGAUGGAGGGGGAUAACGACUGGAAAAGGUAGCUAAUACCGCAUAACACCAGAUGUGCCCAGGUGGGAUGAGCUAGGUGGUGGGGUAACGGCUCAUCAAGGCGACGAUCCCUAGCUGGUCCGAGAGGAUGACCAGCCACCCUGGAACUGAGACACGGUCCAGACUCCUACGGGAGGCAGCAGUGGGGAAUAUUGCACAAUGGGCGCAAGCCUGAUGCAGCCAUGCCGCGUGUGUGAAGAAGGCCUUCGGGUUGUAAAGCACUUUCAGCGGGGAGGCGUUACCCGCAGAAGAAGCACCGGCUAACUCCGUGCCAGCAGCCGCGGUAAUAC